UACAGAGGGUGCAAGCGUUAAUCGGAAUUACUGGGCGUAAAGCGUGCGUAGUCGGUUAUCUAAGUCGGGUGUGAAAUCCCCGGGCUCAACCUGGGAAUUGCAUUCGAUACUGGAUAGCUAGAGUUCGGCAGAGGGAAGCGGAAUUUACGGUGUAGCGGUGAAAUGCGUAGAUAUCGUAAGGAAGACCAGUGGCGAAGGCGGGUCUCUGGACAGUUCCUGACGCUGAGGCCCGAAGGUCAGGGGAGCAAACGGG
rnacentral:rRNA from 1 species